rnacentral:lncRNA from 1 species
AGCCACUCCUGCUUCCACCUGUUGGCCCCCACUCCCAUGAACUUGCCCUCUCAAGGCACAGCGCCCUAUGGUGGUUGUUGAUUAAAGAUGGAUGUCCUAUCGUUACCCUGCUGGCUGCUCAUGCAUUGUGGGAAGCCUGGUCAUCUCAUGGCUGGCUGUGCUUGGUUGCCUUGCUGACCCGCAGGCUCAUUACGAUAAUUGGACCCACCUAACUUCUGAUCCUUCCAUACAACCACCCGACCUGUGUCCUACAGCCAGGCUGUCGUCCCCAUCGACAGGGAGCCCAGUUUUGUAACUGUAUUCCUAUCCUCUCCUCUGGUCAGCAAAGAGCAGCCGGUACUGAGUUCCUCCAUGAUGCUGGUGCCUCUCUCACUAAUGUAUUUUUUAAAAUCAUUUUGGUGAAUGGAAUAUGCUCUGGAUUCUCCUAUUAACUAGAUGUUUUACAGUCACCUCAUAUUGGAAGUUGAGAUCCUCAGGGAGCAGACUCUGAGAUGGAAGUUAUUUAUUUAUCAUUAAAGAAUAGUUGAUUUACAGUGUUGUGCCACUUUCUGAGAGUUGGAAUUUAGUGCAGAGGAAGUUUCUUCAAGAUGCUUCUGGGCUCAGCAGCUGGGAGAAAGGAGGCAAAGGCAAAAGGUAGCCUCUGACAGUUUCCAUACAGGCCUCGGCUGCCUCGUGGGGCUUUGAGAUGGGGCCAGCCCUUCUGAGCUGUCCUGAGUUGGAGCACGUGGGCCAGAUGCUUAUAAUCCUACCCCCGUCACUGUGUGCGGACUGCUUCUGGGAAAGGGCCAUGGCCCUGGGAAAGGCAGCUCUGUUCCCUUGUAGACAGUUCCAGAAAGAGCAUACAUCUGGGUCGGUCACCUGCUAGUACUCCAAGCAGCUGGGGAAUAAGUCCUUUGUUCCUACAGGCGGGUUCUGGAGGUGCACCCCAGCACCUGCUGUACCUAGGAAAGCCAGCUCCCUGAGCCUUUUGGUCCCUUUUAGUCCCAUCUGCUGCCACAGUCUGGGACUUCUCCUUUACAAAUUUGCAGAAAAAUUGAAAUCAAAAACGUUUUCUAGGCGUUCCUGUUGUGGCUCAGCAGUAAUGAACCUCACUGGUAACCCAGAGGAUGAGGGUUCGAUCCUUGGCCUUGCUCAGUGGGUUAAGGAUCCGGCGUUGCCGUGAGCUGUGGUGUAGGUUGCAGACGUGGCUUGGAUCUGGCAUUGCUGUGGCUGUGGUGUAGGCUGGCAGCUGCAGCUCAGAUUCAACCCCUAGCCUGGGAACUUCCAUGUGCCUAGGGUGUGGCCCUAAAAAGACAAAACAAAACUUCUAAAAAUGUUCAUAUAUUAAAAAAUUGAUGAAGACUAAGCAGUCAAGUGACUGCUUUGUUUUUCCACUUUAACUUUUCAUGAUGUCUCUUACAUAAAGAGCUGGUGACUUCUAGAGCUUAGAUUUGUAUGUUUUAGGGACCACAGACUUCAAUUAAAAAAAGAAAAAUCGAGGCAGAUUCCCUCUUGGCAAGUCCCCGGAGCUCUGUGUAACUGCAGCCUCACAGGCUGGUGUGGAUCCUUUCUGCCUGUCCUCUGAAAACAGGAAGAAAAGAAGGACCCAGGCCGCCCUGGGGCCCCAAACGACAGUGGAAGGCAGAUUUUGUAGGUGUCCAGGGAUAGGCGCCCGGAGUUAAUGAGGUGAGAAUGUGUUUCCAACCUGUCACAGCCACAGUGUCAGGACACUGUCCCUCUGCUCAUUCCAGGGAAUGGUGUCAGGACCAGGCCACAGGAGGUGCCUAAAGACACAUGCCAGUGCUGUUACGGAGAGGCUGGAGGGGCCGAGGCAGAGAUGGAAAGACCAUGGAUUCAAGUGCUGAAAACCGGGGUCUGUUCUCAGUCCAGGAAGCCUGGUCUCCGGGACCGCUGAGCAACUUCGUGAGGCUGGUGUCUAAGGUGACACUGGACCUUCCGCAGAUGCUGAUUGCAGAGUGAUGGGCAGGCCCCUCAGGGCCACAGAGGCACCCCUCGGAGCAGGGUGGUGGUUCACCCGAGCUCUCCCCUGACUGUGGUCCAGGUGCCUCAGGUCACAUCCACUCCCUUGCCUUUCUUUGCUCCCUUUCUGGCGUCUGUGUAAAUUGUGUGGUGUGUUUCCGGUUUCCAAACCAGCAAGUUUAAACUCCUCUGCUUGCCGCCAGCCAAGUUCUGUUACAUUCUAGAUGCCCCCCCCCCCAAUUAUUUUUGCUGAUCAACACCAAUCCUGUUCUCCCCUCCUGGCCCCCUGCGGACGGACACAGCUCCCUCUUCUUACUUCAAGGCCUUUGCUCAUUCUGUGUCUUUUUACUCUUUCCAGUUUCCACGCUUCCUUUAAGUUCCACGUAAAAAUUUACCUUCUGUGUGAAAAUUGUUUCACUUUUCCCAGUGAUUCAUCUCUCCCUUCUCUGCAAUCCUCUGGUAGCCAGAGGCAUGUCAAUGCAAGCUGACGCUAGAGGACCGAUGUUUAAUAAUGCUUGCAUGGUGUUUCUUGUGCAUGAACUCGUUUUGCCCUAAACUUAAAGCCUCCUUAAGGAAGGCGUCCAGGUCUUCCUCUACUUUUGGUAGGCACACGCAUUUCUUGGGGAGCACUGGUCGAUGGAGUUCUUCUUAUCCCCCAGCCAAAACCAUCUAAGCUGGGAACACAGCCCCACAUAUACAUACCCUGAGCCCUGAGGAUAUACCAAAGUCUGUGCUUAUCGACCCUCUUCUACCCAAUCCAGAAAGGUUCUGUGCAUCGAAAAACACAGCAACCUUUAUGCAGGACCAUUUGUUGUUCAUUGUUCUACUCGGUUGUUUCAGGUUGGAAAUUUUGACUUCCUGCUUUUGCACAGUCAUCUGGCCACGCUGCCAAUGAACUAACUUCACUUAGGAAGACUGUCAGAUCCUGCCUGGUUCUCAGGCUCUUUGUCUCAGAUCAGAUGUCCUUGACCCCACUUAUAGACACAUCCCUCUCCUAAACGCCAAGGCAAAACUGAAGUUUACCCCGGACAACGACAGCAGACCUUGGGCUGGAAAGCUGAAUGGUUGACCUUGGCCUUAUUUUGAGGCUGAGGCUCCACAUUUGCUCUGGAUCUGAGAUCUGGAUCCUGUCAUAUUCUCUGCCUCAGAAAUGCAAUCAGUUCUCCAGCAUCUGCCUUCUAGAGGGUUGAUACCAGUUGCACACCUCUCUGAUUCUGCCUGCUUCUCUGGGCCUCCUGGGGUUGACCUCAACUGGGUUUCCCAGUAAUGCUUCUCUUUUUAAACCACAUGAAAUGUCUUGACACCAGUCCUGUGCCGAAUUCCCACCUAAGUCCACACUCUACCUGUUGGUGUCAACUUCUUUCAGGCCUGUUGUAGAAUCUGAACUCUGCCUGCUUUAGCUUAGGGAUUUGUUCUGACCUCCGUCCUUCUCAGACUGCUCUGGGCUCUUCUAUGUAACUUAACUAUUUCCUGGGAAAUAACAAGAGCAAGUGUCAUCAAGGUUCGGUGGGUUCAGCAUGUGAUAUGUCGACAACUCAAUGAUCAAGGCCUGAAUAACAAAACCAGCUAGUAUCCACGAGGAGGCAGGUUCAGUCCCUGGCUUUGCUCAGUGGGUUAAGGAUCUGGCAUUGCCGUGAGCUGUAGUGUAGGUCACAGCCUCAGCUU